AUGCUUCUCCUAAAGACUAAGCCAUGCAUGCCCCGAAUAUGAGGAAGCAAUUCUCUCUGAAUCUGCGAACGGCUCCGCAAACCAGUUGUAAACCACAGCAAGCCUGCGACGGUCGGACUCCGGCCUGGCCUGAGCGAUACGGAUAACCCCGGUAAUUCUAAGGCUAAUACGUGUAUGGAACACCCCGGUGGACCGGCUUCGGCUGGGAAAUCGGGAGACGAGUGAUGGAAUGUUUGGAUUACCAGGAACGGGCG
rnacentral:rRNA from 1 species